ACCAAGAGGAGUUGCUUUGUGCCUUUUCAUGAUUUCUAUCCAAGUUGAGCAAAGGAACUCUCAGCAGAUGGAUAAUACAGGAAACUAAGAAGAGAAAGAGGAAGUUCCUCAACUGAAGAGAACUCUGCACCAUGUGACUCUAUAAAUAAGUGUGAAGAGUACAGCUGGAUAAGGUCGAGCAAAGGAGAGGAACUUUCUGUAGACUACUUAGGAAAACCACAGAAGAAAAAUGGCAGAUUCAUGAGAACCUCAUGGAUUUCCCCCAGAAAUGCCCUCUGAUGGCUCAUUCCAGGGAAUUGAUAAAGCUGAAAUCAAAGGAUCUACUAACGUCUACAAGACCAAAACAAAAACAAAACAAAGGACUUCAACAAAAAAAUACUACAUAGCAACAGGAGUUGAAUCUGCUGUUUGCAUCACAGAGUGCCAGAACUAAGCUGAGCAUGGUGAUCUGGGACUGUGAAAGCAAGUGGAGCUCAACACCAUCCUGGGCUGCCAGGAAUUGGUGAGGCCAACUAAUCUCCAUGAGACACUAUCACAAAAUUAAACAGAUAAGAAAAAUAUGGG
rnacentral:lncRNA from 1 species